rnacentral:rRNA from 1 species
UAGGGAAUCUUCCGCAAUGGGCGAAAGCCUGACGGAGCAACGCCGCGUGAGUGAUGAAGGUCUUCGGAUCGUAAAACUCUGUUAUUAGGGAAGAACAAAUGUGUAAGUAACUAUGCACGUCUUGACGGUACCUAAUCAGAAAGCCACGGCUAACUACGUGCCAGCAGCCGCGGUAAUACGUAGGUGGCAAGCGUUAUCCGGAAUUAUUGGGCGUAAAGCGCGCGUAGGCGGUUUUUUAAGUCUGAUGUGAAAGCCCACGGCUCAACCGUGGAGGGUCAUUGGAAACUGGAAAACUUGAGGGCAGAAGAGGAAAGUGGAAUUCCAUGUGUAGCGGUGAAAUGCGCAGAGAUAUGGAGGAACACCAGUGGCGAAGGCGACUUUCUGGUCUGUAACUGACGCUGAUGUGCGAAAGCGUGGGGAUCAAACAGG